AGAACUAUCCGCUGAAGGAGUGGGGAGUGGGGAAGCCCCAGAUGCUCACUGUUUUCGUACAAAGGUGUUGGAGAAGGCUUCUGGUGAAGGAUUUGGCAAAACCGCCGCUAUUAUACAGCUCGCUCCUAAAGCUCCUGUUGACCUGUGUGAGACAGAGAAACUGAGGGCAGCCUUCUUUGCAGUCCCGUUGGAAAUGAGAGGGUCCUUCCUGGUGCUGCUCCUGAGGGAAUGCUUCCGAGACCUGAGCUGGCUGGCACUCAUCCAUAGCGUCCGUGGGGAGGCGGGGCUGCUGGUGACGAGUAUCGUCCCGAAGACCCCGUUUUUCUGGGCUAUGCACGUCACUGAGGUGUUGGGUGCUGGACAGGGUGGACACCUGGGCUGUGGUCAUGUUCAUUGAUUUUGGACAGUUGGCCACCAUCCCUGUGCAGUCUCUGCGCAGCCUAGACAGCGACGACUUCUGGACCAUCCCACCCCUGACUCAGCCAUUCAUGCUGGAGAAAGACAUUUUGAGUUCGUAUGAGGUUGUCCAUCGAAUCCUCAAAGGGAAAAUCACUGGUGCUUUGAACUCGGCG
rnacentral:lncRNA from 10 species